CCUACGGGGGGCAGCAGUGAGGAAUAUUGGUCAAUGGACGCAAGCCUGAACCAGCCAUGCCGCGUGAAGGAAGACGGCUCUAUGAGUUGUAAACUGCUUUUGUACGAGGGUAAACGCAGAUACGCGUAUCUGUCUGAAAGUAUCGUACGAAUAAGGAUCGGCUAACUCCGGGCCAGCAGCCGCGGUAAUACGGAGGAUUCAAGCGUUAUCCGGAUUUAUUGGGUUUAAAGGGUGCGUAGGCGGUCUGAUAAGUUAGAGGUGAAAUCCCGAGGCUCAACUUCGGAAUUGCCGCUGAUACUGGUCGGCUUGAGAGUAGUUGCGGUAGGCGGAAUGUGUGGUGUAGCGGUGAAAUGCGUAGAGAUCAUACAGAACACCGAUUGCGAAGGCAGCCUACCAAGCUACUUCUGACGUUGAGGCACGAAAGCGUGGGGAGCAAACAGGAUUAGAUACCCUUGUAGUC
rnacentral:rRNA from 1 species